rnacentral:rRNA from 1 species
AUUGAACGCUGGCGGCAGGCCUAACACAUGCAAGUCGAACGGUAACAGGAAACAGCUUGCUGUUUCGCUGACGAGUGGCGGACGGGUGAGUAAUGUCUGGGAAACUGCCUGAUGGAGGGGGAUAACUACUGGAAACGGUAGCUAAUACCGCAUAACGUCGCAAGACCAAAGAGGGGGACCUUCGGGCCUCUUGCCAUCGGAUGUGCUCAGAUGGGAUUAGCUAGUAGGUGGGGUAACGGCUCACCUAGGCGACGAUCCCUAGCUGGUCUGAGAGGAUGACCAGCCACACUGGAACUGAGACACGGUCCAGACUCCUACGGGAGGCAGCAGUGGGGAAUAUUGCACAAUGGGCGCAAGCCUGAUGCAGCCAUGCCGCGUGUAUGAAGAAGGCCUUCGGGUUGUAAAGUACUUUCAGCGGGGAUGAAGGGAGUAAAGUUAAUACCUUUGCUCAUUGACGUUACCCGCAGAAGAAGCACCGGCUAACUCCGUG